rnacentral:tRNA from 1 species
CGGGGCGUGGCGCAGUCUGGCUAGCGCGCUUGCUUUGGGAGCAAGAAGUCGCAGGUUCAAAUCCUGUCGCCCCGA